rnacentral:rRNA from 1 species
AACGGCCGCGGUACCCUAACCGUGCAAAGGUAGCGUAAUCACUUGCUUAUUAAUUGUAAGCCUGUAUGAAAGGCAAAAUGAGGGCCUAACUGUCUCUUAUAAUAAAUCAAUUAAACUGAUCUUCCAGUACAAAAGCUGGAAUACUCACAUAAGACCAGAAGACCCUGUGAAGCUUAAACUAAACUAUUAAAUCAAAUAAUAACUACUUUCGGUUGGGGCGACCUUGGAAAAAAAAAGAACUUCCAAAUACAUGACCUUCAUCAUACUAAAGGCCAACAAGCCAAAUAUAGACCCAGCACAGCUGACAAGUGAACCAAGUUACUCCAGGGAUAACAGCGCUAUCUUCUUCAAGAGCCCAUAUCAAAAAGAAGGUUUACGACCUCGAUGUUGGAUCAGGACAUCCUAUUGGUGCAGCCGCUAUUAAAGGUUCGUUUGUUCAACGAUUAA